UUGGUUCGGAAGUAAGUAAUGAAUGCAGACACAAAUUAAUAUCAGCACAAUUUGGAAAAAUCAUUUGAAUCUUGGCAAUGAAUUUCCGAACCCCACGAUGAAAACCCCGCACUUGAUUACACAUUUCCAGUUCACUUUUUAUACAUUACUCUGAUUCUUCAUUUAACAUACGAGCUUCUAGUCCUGGACUAGGGUACAUUUUCGUUUACGUCGGACAAUUAAGUUACAGUUAGGUUGGACACCAAUUCACAAUAAACCUCAGUUUCACUUAGGUCGGACAGAAUGUCCAGUGGUUUCCUCUCUACGUCGGACAAUUUCACGAAUGGGUGGG